rnacentral:rRNA from 1 species
GAGCGUUGGAACCACCUGAUCCCAUCCCGAACUCAGAAGUGAAACGAUGCAUCGCCGAUGGUAGUGUGGGGUUUCCCCAUGUGAGAGUAGGUCAUCGUCAAGA